AGUGAACGCUGGCGGUAGGCCUAACACAUGCAAGUCGAACGGCAGCACGGUAAGAGCUUGCUCUUACGGGUGGCGAGUGGCGGACGGGUGAGGAAUACAUCGGAAUCUACUUUUUCGUGGGGGAUAACGUAGGGAAACUUACGCUAAUACCGCAUACGACCUACGGGUGAAAGCAGGGGAUCUUCGGACCUUGCGCGAUCGAAUGAGCCGAUGUCGGAUUAGCUAGUUGGCGGGGUAAAGGCCCACCAAGGCGACGAUCCGUAGCUGGUCUGAGAGGAUGAUCAGCCACACUGGAACUGAGACACGGUCCAGACUCCGACGGGAGGCAGCAGUGGGGAAUAUUGGACAAUGGGCGCAAGCCUGAUCCAGCCAUACCGCGUGGGUGAAGAAGGCCUUCGGGUUGUAAAGCCCUUUUGUUGGGAAAGAAAAGCAGCAGGUUAAUACCCCGCUGUUCUGACGGUACCCAAAGAAUAAGCACCGGCUAACUUCGUG
rnacentral:rRNA from 1 species